rnacentral:rRNA from 1 species
GAUGAACGCUGGCGGCGUGCUUAACACAUGCAAGUCGAACGGUGAACGAGGGAGCUUGCUCCCUCCGGAUCAGUGGCGAACGGGUGAGUAACACGUGAGCAAUCUGCCCUGGACUCUGGGAUAAGCGUUGGAAACGACGUCUAAUACCGGAUACGAGGCGUGGGGGCAUCCCCAACGCCUGGAAAGAACUUCGGUCCAGGAUGAGCUCGCGGCCUAUCAGCUAGUUGGUGAGGUAACGGCUCACCAAGGCGACGACGGGUAGCCGGCCUGAGAUGGUGACCGGCCACACUGGGACUGGGACACGGCCCAGACUCCUACGGGAGGCAGCAUUGGGGAAUAUUGCACAAUGGGCGCAAGCCUGAUGCAGCAACGCCGCGUGAGCGAUGAAGGCCUUAGGGUUGUAAAGCUCUUUCAGUGGGGAAGAUAAUGACUGUACCCACAGAAGAAGCCCCGGCUAGCUCCGUGCCAGCAGCCGCGGUAAAAC